rnacentral:tRNA from 1 species
GUAGAGAUGGCUCAGUGGUUAAGAGCACUGGUUUCUCUGCCAGAGGACCUGGAUUUGAUUUCCAGCACCCACA